UACGGAGGGGGCUAGCGUUGUUCGGAAUUACUGGGCGUAAAGCGCACGUAGGCGGCCAACUAAGUCGGAUGUGAAAUCCCCAGGCUUAACCUGGGAACUGCAUCCGAUACUGGAUGGCUUGAAUCCGGGAGAGGGAUGCAGAAUUCCAGGUGUAGCGGUGAAAUGCGUAGAUAUCUGGAGGAAUACCGGUGGCGAAGGCGGCAUCCUGGACCGGCAUUGACGCUGAGGAGCGAAAGCUAGGGGAGCAAACGGG
rnacentral:rRNA from 1 species